ACCAGCUGAGUGAAGGAAGAGGCUCAGACUUGGAAAAACAAACCAGUCCUCAGCCUGGAGAAGGCUCAGUGCCACAGCCCCAGUGUUGGGGGGUGGUAUGGAACCUUGGGUCACAGAGGGAUGUGCCUGGAAGGCUUUUGUUCUACUGUGGAGAUGACCCAGCCCAGGGAUGACUGAUGCACUAAGGUCGGUCUGAGAUGACGAGAAGAAGGCUCCAAAAAAAAAAAAAAUUAAGUACACUUUGCACUGCUGCGGUCUCAGAGGGACCAAGCUAGCAGAAGAAAAAAGUCAGUCAAAGUUUAAUACUCCAAAGCCAGUAUGUUUCCUAAUGGGAAUAUGAGUGGAAAACAAACGGGUUGGGCCAGCAAUCCUUCCAGACGGCCAUCAUUUGAAUCAGGAAAAAUUCUAUCCGAAGAAUAAUAAACUGACUCAAGAUGAACAUAAGCCACAACCCAUUUACCCACAGGUCAAGAACUCAUAAGCUGGAGGAGCACAAGGAUGUAUUCAUGUUUACUGAUCCUCCAAUUUUUUUUGCCGUAAUGAUCUGUAAUAAUAUUCCAUAUUUCUGUGUUAUCAAUGACAAUGUGUCCUGUUUUAGUAUGUUGACGUUAUGCAAUUGCUUCUUUCUUUUCUCUUUGUGUAUCUAAAGGUUUGGUGAUUUUGUGCUUUCCAACAACAGAGUUUUGAUUUAUGAACCUUUGUAUUGUCCUUUAGUCUCAGUCUUAUUUAAUUCUGCCCUGAUCCUUAUUGUUUAUGGCAUUUCAGGUUUCACUUGUCCCUUUAGCUAUUUGAAUUGUAUUAUCAUGUUAUUUGAAAUCUGUUAUUGUUUCCCCGAGGUAGAUGCUGGUGAUGUUUGCGUCUGCCCCCCCCCAUCUUAGGCUAUGAGUGUUGUUGGGUGUGACUACAUGGCUGGUUGCUGAGACCAGGGGUUGGAUCAGUCACCCAGUAUCUGGAGGAAUGGACACAGGCACGCUGUGUGCUGCAGGCUGGCCAGAUACGCAGCAGGCUCACUCAUUCCAGGGACAAAGCUGUGGCCUGGAUGGCCGUCGGGCUGUUUUCUAUCACGGUCAGGUGCUGUGUACUGGUCAGCUGUGUAAUUGGCUUCAUGGAGGGAGGCGGAGCUGCCUGCUGGGAGCUAGGGAGGUUGCAUACGUAUGUGAGUACGUCAAGGCUCUGUAUGUCACCUUUCCCUCUAUUUAAAUCUGCCUGUUCCCUGGGGGACAGACUGGGUUUUGUGACCCAUUAGUCCUUUUGUGACUGGCUGGGCUCUGAGUUCUGGAGUGACGGCGGUGCAGCCACUCCCGUGAAUGGAAAUACGCCACGGCUGCUGACCCCAGGGUGGGAUGCUCUGUAACCGGGAACAAGCUUUAAGGGGUCAGCCUGAGUCUAUAACGUGAACCUCUGACAGGGGACCACAGGUCCACGAACUCAGGGCAACUCUCCAUGCUGCUUGUGGCCUGUGAGAGCGGCCUCAGUCUCUUGCUGUGAGGACUACAAGCAUACAGUGUCUACAAGAAUUCUUCUCCUCCGAGGGGAUGCAGAUCUGGAUAGGGACACGGGGUGAAGGAGGCCAUCUUCUCUCCAGUCUGUGGCCAUCACCCUGUUUUGAUUCGUUGCACAGGGGCCACACCCCUGCCGCUCCAGUCAGAGUGUGGUGGUUUAUUCUCUGUGAUCCUUCGGUGCAUGAGGGAGGGACAUGGAGGGAGGGAAUGUGAUGGACAAAGGUGCUCGGCUGUGUCAACCUCCCAUCCGGAUUCCGCUUUUAGUCUUCGUUUUUCCCACAGGGCCUGACACAGAUUUGCAAUCGGUCUUCCUCACUCUGUCCCUCAAGUCAGGAAAGUCAGCGCUGGUUUGUCAGAACCAGGGUGUUGCUGAUGUUUCAGUGAAACCUUUGUGUUUUUGUCUGCAUUUAAGAAAGACCCUUGGGCCUAUUAUAGCUUGAUUAUCCCGCAGUCAGAGACACAGGCCUGACACUUCAGAGAUAGCUUCUAUUUCUAUUCAUGGCCCUGUGGCUACUCCUCAUAAGGGGCCUACCGUGACAGGACCUCCUGCCAUUAGAGACACAAUUCAGUUUGAUUACACAAUCAAAACGCUUAAAAAUAGGGCUAUAACUGUGGGUAAAGGGUAUGUAAGUAUUUGACAAUUGUGUGCAUGCAUGCGUGGGUUCAAAUACCUUCUUUUCAUUUCUGGAGAAGUCAUUACAGGCAAAGUUACACGGUCCUGUGGUGGAAAGGCAAAUAAACGGCAGCCAACUGGGUGAGCUCAUGCACCCCCGACCAGUCGGUGGUAUAAGCUGGAUAAGUGUAGAUACGGGCUUUUGCAGUUCCUUUAAAUGCGUAAACACGUCUCUGCCAAACUGGAGGCUGCGAGGACCCGCCUGAGGGGGAAGAGCUGGGAGGAUGACUUUCCAGCGGGGCCGAGCCGGACUCUGAGAAGCGCGCUGUGUACCGAUAAGACUGACUACCCCCAGUCGUCCUGCAGAUAAUGUGCUGUCCUGACACUGGAGUUCUAAACCGGCGGUACACAGGCCGCGAAGGUGUCGAAACAAGCCACACGCCAAGAAUUUGAAGUCAUCAGGAAAGCUGACUGAGUGGAGUGUAGGAGGUCCCUGUGUCCUGCCUGGUGGACUUCUCGGAAACCCGGGAAGGGCCCUGCACAAGCGGGUACAAGGCUUGUGGGACCCGGAAGGAGUUUGAUAAGGAAAGAAUUUUAAAAAAUUGAUUACAAAAACGAGCUGAGUGUUUCAGGUGUUGCAGUGCGUGCUAACUCUGGGGCACGCGUCUUCACGUGACUGUCCAGUGGUGACUCACCUGUGCGUAAAGGUCGCUUAACUUUAGUGACCACAUCGAUACAGAUGACUAAGCCAAAGAGAAAAUACUUUCAACCCGAAUCUUUUCAUCGGUGUCCAAGAAAGCCUUGGCUCACUGUUUGGGAAGAUGCUGCUGUUCACUCCUUGUAGAUAACUGUGUCUCUGUAUUGACGAAGUGAACGGCGCAAUCACCUUACACUUUGAAGCCACUCACGAGCGUUCUGUGGGGGAAUUGUUUUUGCCCUAGUUGUGUCUAUUAGGAUUAGAGUUGUGUAGAGGCAAAAGGUUAUAGAGGAGAGACAAAGUAAUGGCUAGUUUGAAAAGUUGGCCUCAGGAUGCGUAGUCAUCUAUCCCAAGAGUGACAUUUAGCCCUCUGGGUGCUGUGGAGAUAGCGGUAUCAGAAGAUGAUGUGAAGCCAAAAAAAAAAAGUCUUGCAGCCUUGUAUGUAGCCAUUAGAAUGUCAAAUGAUACCUGUUUGUGAUAUUGCUGGGCUGUCAGCCACACAAAAGUACAACCUAUACAACUACACACAGUGUGUGGUAAUUGUAGACCUUGUCCAAAAGAAAAAAAAAAGGAACUGGGUUUGUCAAACCUUAAUCAAAUGAAUCAGUACAUUCAUAAAUAAAUACAUCAGGAAUGUUGGGA